GACGCUCAGAGCAACAAUGAAACUUCGUUUUACGAGUCUGUUGUGCAUAUGACGCAUAAAUAACCGGAAUCUCGCGACUUUUAUUGCACCGAUGACGAAAUACGAAUAAAUUGUUCUCUUGCCUGCGCGGCAUCAAUGGCCAAUUCUGAUCGUUCGCGACUCAGAGGACACAGCGAUUAGCCGUUGUGUGAACACAGACUUCUAUAUAUAUAUAUAUAUAUAUAUAUGUAUAUAUGUAUUAGACCUCGUACCUCUUAUAUAUCAGCCUUAUAUGCAUGUAUCUUAAAUCCUCCCCGCGCCCAUCGCCCGUCAUCACGCUUUUCGCACCCACUCUCCGUCGCGACGGGGCCUGGAUAUUUCGGCAGCUAAUCAAAAGAAAAGGACCAUGCCUGUUACUACGGAAACUCAAGACUUGCUGUCUCCUUUUCUUUCGCCCGAUAAUAACAACGAGGGAAACUUUGCGACUUGAAGAAAAACGAGAAUUCAGAAUUAAGGAGUGAGUAUGCGCCACAAUCGAUUAAAGAAAAAAAAAUUGAAACUUAUUCAUGUAUUUUCAAUUUAAUAUUAACUGUA